GACGAAGGGGGCAAGCGUUGUUCGGAUUUAUUGGGCGUAAAGGGUGCGUAGGUGGCAAAGUAAGUUGGAUGUGAAAUCCUGGGGCUUAACCUCAGAAUUGCAUUCAAUACUGCUUAGCUAGAGAGCUGUAGAGGAGACUGGAAUUUACGGUGUAGCAGUGAAAUGCGUAGAUAUCGUAAGGAACGCCAGUGGCGAAAGCGAGUCUCUGGGCAGCAUCUGACACUGAGGCACGAAGGCCAGGGGAGCAAACGGG
rnacentral:rRNA from 1 species